GCGCGCGUCAGGCAGGACGAAUUCGGCGGAUGUUCAUUGUGGUUGAUGUACGGACAGAUAAAUCCAAAGAGCGGGCCGAGUGCUGACGGGCAGCUCCGAGUCCCUAAGCAAAACAUCGUCGUGGUUCAUCAACAGGAGAACAGCGAACAGUGUGAUAAAAAGUGGUCUGUGUUUUAGUGUUGGCCUUUCGCCAUUACGUGAUAAUAAAGAAGCGGCAAUCAUUUUUUAAAUUGCGCCAACUUAUGCAAAUGAAAUAGUCGCUUAAUAGCCAAUUUGCAAAUAAUUCGCGAGCCAACAAAAAAUGCCGGCUAAAUGUACAUAGAUUAACCGCACAACGUGGCGUGGUACAAUUUACAUUAUGUGCGUUGUUUUGUGAUCAUUAACAACAAUAAAUGAAACAAAAAAUAUAAAAAUAAAAAUAAAUGGGAAACGAACUCACCCGCUUGUCUUUUAUAUAGAGAGAAAUGUCAAUAUUAAUAUUGAGUGACCUACCAAAUUUCAAAUCUAACAUUUCAAAUUGUCAACAAAAGCAAGCAAAUAAUGCAAAUGUCACACUAAGUGCAACAAAAUGUUCGCACAAUGCAACAACAAAAA